rnacentral:rRNA from 1 species
GAUGAACGCUGGCGGCGUGCCUAAUACAUGCAAGUCGAGCGAGCAGACGAGGAGCUUGCUCCUCUGACGUUAGCGGCGGACGGGUGAGUAACACGUGGAUAACCUACCUAUAAGACUGGGAUAACUUCGGGAAACCGGAGCUAAUACCGGAUAAUAUAUUGAACCGCAUGGUUCAAUAGUGAAAGACGGUUUUGCUGUCACUUAUAGAUGGAUCCGCGCCGCAUUAGCUAGUUGGUAAGGUAACGGCUUACCAAGGCAACGAUGCGUAGCCGACCUGAGAGGGUGAUCGGCCACACUGGAACUGAGACACGGUCCAGACUCCUACGGGAGGCAGCAGUAGGGAAUCUUCCGCAAUGGGCGAAAGCCUGACGGAGCAACGCCGCGUGAGUGAUGAAGGUCUUCGGAUCGUAAAACUCUGUUAUUAGGGAAGAACAAAUGUGUAAGUAACUAUGCACGUCUUGACGGUACCUAAACAGAAAGCCACGGCUAACUACGUG